CCGGCCCCGGGCCCGCUCCACCGGGGGCUCGCUGAGGGGAGCGCCCGGGCUACCGGGAGGAGGCCUCAGCGGGGCCGGAAGCGGGCGGUGAAGGCCGGGCGGCCAUCUUGGAGGCGGGCGGGCAGCGGCGGGGCUGCCAUGCCGCAAGAUGGCGGCCGCAGUUUGGCUCCGCCCCCAUCAUGGCGCCGGGUGUGGGGGGAGGGGGGAGGCGGUCGGUACCGGCCCGGGGAUGGAGGGCACCGGGAGCCCGGCCCGGGGGACGCUGAGGGGAACCGGGUUGUGCCCGGCCUCAGGCAGGCGCUGCUGAGGGAGAACGGCCCUGCACGGCCCUGCUGGGGCUCACGGUGCGGUCUCCGAGGGGAGCGGGGGGGAGGCGGCCGCGCCUGAGGCAGCGCCUGAGGCACCGCCAGGGAUCCUCCAAGUGGGACGAGCUCGGAUGUGUUUAGCGUUGGAAUAGAUCUAAAUAUUCAGAGCGUGUUUCCAGCCGGUUGUCGGGCAGGGUCAAAAAUGCAAGAUUUGCGCACAAUGCUGUGCCAGUCAAGACUGUGAGAAGCCCUCCCCCUGGCUCACCCAGAACACCAGUAAAAGCGGUAAGGUGGAAGAUCUUAGGGGCAAUCUUUUGCUCAAGCUUCCAGGGUAGCAAGUUCAGGUGCGGAGCCUCCAGAUUUUUCAGCCUGUGGGCACAUGGCAGCCUGCAGAGCUCCCCCUGCACCUGCCCAGCGAACGCAGAUCCAUGGCUUUCCCCAGGAGCCUGUGCUAAGGGUGGCCUAGGAGCUGGUUUAAUCCAUAAAUCAACACAAAUCCUUCAGGAGCUGCAGCCCCCCGAGGACAGGCUUUACCAAGCCCCUUUGCCAGCUUCUGUCCAACCGUGCCCAUCUGCCUGACCCGGCCAGGGUGAGCUUUCCAUUGCUUCUGCCCCACAAGCCCUGCCUGGGCCCUCCUGCUCUGUGCUCAUGCCAGGAGUUUGGCCCUGAACAGCCCUCACUGCACCGUGGUGCCCUCCUGCUCUGUUAUGACAACGUUCGGAGUAAACUGUCUCCUCCCAAACAUCCCCUCCCUCCUGCCACAGUUACACCCUUCUUGCCCUGCUCCCAUGUACGUUCCCUUUGCCAGGCCUGCAGGUCUAUCUCUAGCCUCCUGCCCUCUUCCUUUGACGUGCCAUUUUACUCCCUUUCAAGAACUCAAGUCACAUUUCUUCCUUCUCCUGUUUUUCUGACCAGGAUGGUUUCUGCAGGUAUUUCUCCUUCCCCUCUGGUGGCUCCAGGACAACUUUAGUGACUGUCGGUGUGGUUGGUUCUCCCAGCUCACCUGUCCUAACGUAUCUCAGGUGUUCUUGAAAGGGAAGUUGCAGGGCUACAUAAAAUAAUAAUAAAUAAUUAUCUGUAAGAAGGAUCUCUCCCUUCCCAGCAGGUCUGAAUUAGCAUCCUCUUUCUAGAAGAGUCUCUUAGGAUGUUAAUUGUCAUCUGCCCCCUGGGAUGUAUCUAAGCAAACCUUCUACCAGCAAGGUCUAUUAGCAUGUUAAUGUCCUCCUCGCUCCUGGAAGUCUCUCUGUAUCACUGGCUUAAUCGUCAAACAGCUUAAUUUACAGACACAAAAUUAAACUGGUUGCAAUUAAUCUCUACGGGCCGGUCAUAGCUCGAGUUGAGCACAAACACCGGCCCCGUGCAAGCCACGCCAACCCUCGCCAGCACUGUCCUUCGCUCGCAGAGACAAGCGUCACGUCCUCACCCAGCACGCAGAGGGACCCGUGGUGGGAGGUAUUUUACACUCCAGCUACAUUUGGAGGAGGAAAUGGUUCCUCUGGAAAUGCUGACUGAGGGGGGAGGCUCCCUCUAGCUCAGGCUGUGCCUACAGAGGCGACAGGCACGGGAUUUCCAGUGCGGGCACAGUGCGACCGCAGUGAAGUGCACCAGGAACCAAGAGGCCGAGGGCCCCAGCACUGGGGUCGCAGCGCCCUGCACCUCCCGCACCUCAGCUUCCCUCAAGGCGUGUCACACUGCCUCCGCCGAUUCUGCGAUUAGACCUGUUGCUAAUUAAGCACGCUCUAUUUUUAAAGGAGUUGCAUCACUUAAAUAGACUUGGAGCCCAACUGGAAGCGACGCAGUGCAGUUUGCUUAGACAGGGCUCCACUGCCUUCUACCAGGCUGACCCAACGGGGACCCAAAUGUGCCUCACCCUGCCUGCCUUACAGUUCUGCUGCAGCUUCAGGGGAGCAAACCCACACCCACUGAAUGGUGCAGAGCGCUGGAAGCUGGAUGGACCCAAGCUCCAGCACAGGCUGAGCCUGGUGGGCUCGCUGCCUGCCACAAACAGCAUUUGAGGGCUGCGGGGCUCUUGCUGGGACCCUCUGAGCCAGAAGACUCCGGCCUGGAUGUGACCGAUCUGCCAGGAUGGGUUAUUUACAGACACACCACGUCGCGGCAGGUGACACAAUUCCCAUUCCUCCUCUCACACUGUGCCUCCGAGGCGAGCAGAUGAUGAGCCACCAGGAAAGGGGGUGCUGGGGUCCGUGCCUCACUUGUGCCAACACGAAGCAGUGCCAGGAGGGAGAGGCGAGGAGUUUUGCGGCCAGCAGCCACGGUGGCUGCCCUGCGAGUUGUGCGUGGGCGGCUCGGGCUGGGCAGCAUAGGGGAAGGCGAGCGCUGUCCUCCCUGCGUGUGCGAGAGGUGACCUUGGGGAAGGUGGCUUCAGUCACCAGCCCCGGCCUGGCAAUAUGCUCCGCUGGGAGCGAGCCAAGGCUCUGAGCAGACAGAUCUAACCUGAUCCAGGCUUGGCCUCACUGGGACGUGCUCCAGCCAUGACAUCACCCGGUAAUGCUACGUGUAUUUACUACUGGGGGAAGGUGCGGGAUUGGAGCCUGAAAUCCCUGCUUUAUCCCCUGAGCAGGUUAGGGACAGGAAGCAGCAUUAGCAGCCCCAGCCGGGUGUUCUUCAGGCAAAGAGGAAUCAGGUUCUGCAGCCAGCACAGCCCUCAGCCCUGCUGUUUGAGAACUCACAUCUCCUAUUUUCACACUCCCCAUGAGAUGUUCUUGCCACCCGAAUCUCGGGGAGCUCCUUGCAGGGUGCCACCCCCCCUCUUAGCUCGGACUCAUCUCACAGCACUUUGCAAGCAGAGCGAACGGAUACCUGGAGUCAGGUAUCCACUGCGCCAUCCACAGCCGUCACAUCAAUAAUGAAUCAAGGGAUUAAAUGCAGAGCUGAAGCAACCAGAGGGUAAACUCAGACUUUUAAAAGAAGUGAAAUGUUGCACGUGGAGCAGCACGGGGUCUGAAAUUCCAUUGGGGGCAAGGAAGGCACCCCAGCCCGUCAGGCAGCCACGGGCUUCAAGCCUGGCCGGGACACACUGCUGGGGCACAGGCUCGUGGCUGUGAGUCACUGCUGAGGAGCAGGCAGUUUUAGACAGGUAGGUGACAGAUGGCGACAGGCAGGGGAUCAGAGGGAAUCAGCAGUACGGCAGCAGCGUCAGGACAGCUGCCCGUUGGGGCUUGGGAAGCUCUAGGACAGGCAAGGUCCGAGGCUGUGACAGGGACACGGGCACCUCGCUGAGCUUGCAGGAGAAGAGCAGGAAGAGGGGACUAGCUCGGUAGGAACCAGAGCUGUUGGAGGCCACGAAGGAGCAGACUGCUCGACGGGAAUGCUCCCAGAGAGCUGCUGAAGCACGCAGAGCUCAGGCCAGGCAUCCAUCGGUGUGCAGGGGGUGCCUGAAGUCAGCUCCAAGCCCCACGGACCGCUCAGGAAGCUGCAUGCAAGCAGCCGUCACUCCGUGCUGCUCAAAUCCAGCGGCAAGCUGGAAGCCUAAAGCCUGUCAUUAGGAAUCAUAAAAACAGCAAUUAGAGCAGAGCGGCACGAGUUCACGCCCAGACCAUCAAUACGAGGCAUUUACCCAGCAGCAGGGGACCGCCGCCCUCGGAAAUCUUCCUCGGCUGGGGACGCAGGAGGCCUGGCGCUCCCCCUUGCCAGCCACACGGGCACGAGGCCGUUUUAUUGAGGAAACCUGGGGUGGCGAGCGGAGGUUGGGAGGUCGGGGCUGUGCUGCCGGGAGCAGCAGCAGGACUCCUCGCCGGCCUCCCAAACGCUGUCUCGUUUGCCAAGCCCAUCUCUCUGCCGAGUGCUAAUAGGUGACAUCAACGAAACCACGAGCCAAGCUUAAAGUGAGGGCUCUUCUAAUCAACGUGCUCCCGAAGCUUUUUCUCUUGGCCUCUUUGAUGUUGGCGCUUGACUGCUCACGCAGGAUUUACCCCGAUGUUUGACCGUAGUAGUCCUCAAUCACUUGUAUAACCUAUUAAAAAUAAAAGCCCAUCUUUUCC